rnacentral:lncRNA from 1 species
UCACCUUUCCCCAAGCAGAGUUCUCCUCUCCGUUGGUGUCGAUAAACGUUGAGUUUUUCCCAGUCGUCCGUUGACGUUUGGCUGAGUUAUAUUUUCUCUACCCAGAAGAGUUACCUCUCCGUUGGUUUUGAUGAACGUUGAGUUUUUCCUAUUCGUCUGUUGACGUAUAGUUGUACCAUUCCCCUCAGAGUUACCUCUCCGUUGGUUUCGAUAAACGUUGAGUUUUUCUCAUUCGUCCGUUGGCGUCUGAUUGUAUAUCCUAUUCCCCAAUCAUUCAUUAAUGUCUGGUCGAUCUCCAGUCAGUUUUCCCCAGUAGAGUCGUCGGUAAACGUCCUGGCUGGUCACCUUUCUCCGUUGGUGUCGAUAAACGUCGAGCUUCUCCCGUUCGUCCGUUGACGUCUGGU